rfam:Camelus ferus isolate Naran unplaced genomic scaffold scaffold61882, whole genome shotgun sequence.
GGAAGGGACAGUUCAGUGGUAGAGUGUAUGUCUAACAUGCAUGAGAUCCUGGGUUCAACCCCCAGUACAUCCA